rnacentral:rRNA from 1 species
CUGGGCUACACACGUGCUACAAUGGACAGAACAAAGGGCAGCGAAACCGCGAGGUUAAGCCAAUCCCACAAAUCUGUUCUCAGUUCGGAUCGCAGUCUGCAACUCGACUGCGUGAAGCUGGAAUCGCUAGUAAUCGCGGAUCAGCAUGCCGCGGUGAAUACGUUCCCGGGCCUUGUACACACCGCCCGUCACACCACGAGAGUUUGUAACACCCGAAGUCGGUGAGGUAACCUUUUAGGAGCCAGCCGCCGAAGGUGGGACAGAUGAUUGGGGUGAAGUCGUAACAAGGUAGCCGUAUCGGAAGGUGCGGUUG